rnacentral:rRNA from 1 species
GACGAACGCUGGCGGCGCGCUUAACACAUGCAAGUCGAACGGAAAGGCCUGCUUUCCCUUGUGGAUUGCGGGUACUCGAGUGGCGAACGGGUGAGUAACACGUGAGUGAUCUGCCCCCAACUUGGGUAUAAGCCUGGGAAACUGGGUCUAAUUCCCGAUAGGACUGCAGGGUGGUGCCUGUGGUGGAAAACGAUUUUCUAGUGGUUGGGGAUGAGCUCGCGGCCUAUCAGCUUGUUGGUGGGGUAAUGGCCUACCAAGGCGGCGACGGGUAGCCGGCCUGGGAGGGUGGACGGGCACAUUGGGACUGAGAUGCGGCCCAGACUCCGACGGGAGGCAGCAGUGGGGAAUAGUGGACAAUGGGCGGAAGCCUGAGGCAGCGACGCAGCGUGGGGGAUGACGGCCUUCGGGUAGUAAACUCCUUUCGACCGCGAGGAAGCCACCUGGUUGGAAGGGUGGUGACGGUAGUGGUAGAAGAAGCACCGGCUAACUACGUG